GGGGGGGGCCGUUACCAUGCCAAGUCGAGACGGAUGUAACCGAGCAUUGCUCCUGGAUUCAGCGGCGGACGGGUGAGUAAUGCCUAGGAAUCUGCCUGGUAGUGGGGGACAACGUUUCGAAAGGAACGCUAAUACCGCAUACGUCCUACGGGAGAAAGCAGGGGACCUUCGGGCCUUGCGCUAUCAGAUGAGCCUAGGUCGGAUUAGCUUGUUGGUGAGGUAAUGGCUCACCAAGGCGACGAUCCGUAACUGGUCUGAGAGGAUGAUCAGUCACACUGGAACUGAGACACGGUCCAGACUCCUACGGGAGGCAGCAGUGGGGAAUAUUGGACAAUGGGCGAAAGCCUGAUCCAGCCAUGCCGCGUGUGUGAAGAAGGUCUUCGGAUUGUAAAGCACUUUAAGUUGGGAGGAAGGGUUGUAGAUUAAUACUCUGCAAUUUUGACGUUACCGACAGAAUAAGCACCGGCUAACUCUGUGCCAGCAGCCGCGGUAAUACAGAGGGUGCAAGCGUUAAUCGGAAUUACUGGGCGUAAAGCGCGCGUAGGUGGUUUGUUAAGUUGGAUGUGAAAGCCCCGGGCUCAACCUGGGAACUGCAUCCAAAACUGGCAAGCUAGAGUACGGUAGAGGGUGGUGGAAUUUCCUGUGUAGCGGUGAAAUGCGUAGAUAUAGGAAAGAACACCAGUGGCGAAAGCGACCACCUGGACUGAUACUGACACUGAUGUGCAAAAACGUGGGGAGCAAACAGGAUUAGAUACCCUGGUAGUCCACGCCGUAACCAUG
rnacentral:rRNA from 1 species